rnacentral:rRNA from 1 species
AUUGAACGCUGGCGGUAUGCUUAACACAUGCAAGUCGAACGGUAGCAGGCCUUCGGGCGCUGACGAGUGGCGGACGGGUGAGUAACGCGUAGGAAUCUGCCUGUUAGUGGGGGACAACGUGGGGAAACCCACGCUAAUACCGCAUACGCCCUACGGGGGAAAGCGGGGGCUCUUCGGACCUCGCGCUAACAGAUGAGCCUGCGUUAGAUUAGCUAGUUGGUAGGGUAAAGGCCUACCAAGGCGACGAUCUAUAGCUGGUCUGAGAGGACGAUCAGCCACACUGGGACUGAGACACGGCCCAGACUCCUACGGGAGGCAGCAGUGGGGAAUAUUGGACAAUGGGCGCAAGCCUGAUCCAGCAAUACCGCGUGUGUGAAGAAGGCCCUAGGGUUGUAAAGCACUUUCAAUGGGGAGGAAAACCUGCCGGCCAAUACCCGGUAGCUUGACAUUACCCAUAGAAGAAGCACCGGCUAACUCCGUGCCAGCAGCCGCGGUAAUACGGAGGGUGCGAGCGUUAAUCGGAAUUACUGGGCGUAAAGCGUGCGUAGGCGGUUCGUUAAGUCAGAUGUGAAAGCCCCGGGCUCAACCUGGGAACUGCAUUUGAAACUGGCGAACUAGAGUUGAGUAGAGGGGAGUGGAAUUUCAGGUGUAGCGGUGAAAUGCGUAGAUAUCUGAAGGAACACCAGUGGCGAAGGCGACUCCCUGGACUCAAACUGACGCUGAGGUACGAAAGCGUGGGUAGCAAACAGGAUUAGAUACCCUGGUAGUCCACGCUGUAAACGAUGUCAACUAGCCGUUGGGCCUAUUUACAGGUUUAGUGGCGCAGCUAACGCAUUAAGUUGACCGCCUGGGGAGUACGGCCGCAAGGUUA